GACGAACGCUGGCGGCGUGCCUAACACAUGCAAGUCGAGCGGAGUCGAUCGACGGAAGCCUUCGGGCGGAAGAUGGUUGACUUAGCGGCGGAUGGGUGAGUAACGCGUGGGCAACCUGCCUCGAAGACCGGGAUAACAGUCCGAAAGGGCUGCUAAUACCGGAUGUGGUCAAGGAUCCGCAUGGAUUUUUGAUUAAAGGGGAAACCCGCCUUGAGAUGGGCCCGCGUCCCAUCAGCUAGUUGGUGAGGUAACAGCUCACCAAGGCGACGACGGGUAGCCGGCCUGAGAGGGUGACCGGCCACACUGGGACUGAGACACGGCCCAGACUCCUACGGGGGGCAGCAGUGGGGGAUCUUGCACAAUGGGCGAAAGCCUGAUGCAGCGACGCCGCGUGAGCGAAGAAGGCCUUCGGGUUGUAAAGCUCUGUCUGGAGGGACGAACAAAAUGACGGUACCUCCGGAGGAAGCCACGGCUAACAACGUGCCAGCAGCCCGCGGUAAAACUC
rnacentral:rRNA from 1 species